rnacentral:rRNA from 1 species
GAUGAACGCUGGCGGCGUGCCUAAUACAUGCAAGUCGAGCGAACAGACGAGGAGCUUGCUCCUUUGACGUUAGCGGCGGACGGGUGAGUAACACGUAGGUAACCUACCUAUAAGACUGGGAUAACUUCGGGAAGCCGGAGCUAAUACCGGAUAAUAUUUCGAACCGCAUGGUUCGAUAGUGAAAGAUGGCUUUGCUAUCACUUAUAGAUGGACCUGCGCCGUAUUAGCUAGUUGGUAAGGUAACGGCUUACCAAGGCAACGAUACGUAGCCGACCUGAGAGGGUGAUCGGCCACACUGGAACUGAGACACGGUCCAGACUCCUACGGGAGGCAGCAGUAGGGAAUCUUCCGCAAUGGGCGAAAGCCUGACGGAGCAACGCCGCGUGAGUGAUGAAGGUCUUCGGAUCGUAAAACUCUGUUAUUAGGGAAGAACAAACGUGUAAGUAACUGUGCACGUCCUGACGGUACCUAAUCAGAAAGCCACGGCUAACUACGUG